rnacentral:rRNA from 1 species
AACAGUUUACCUUUUGUAUCAUGAACUAGCAAGUUUAUUUUUAUAGCAAGCUUAAAUUAAAAAAAUGUAGGCGUAGUUAAAACAAGUUUUUAAACAAAAAAGUUAUAAAAAUAAAACCCGAAACCAAUUGAUUUAGUCACGAACAAGCUAAAAAUAUUAUAAAUUAUAUCUAAAGGCUGAAUUCAUAGUUGUUGCAAAAACUUGAAAAGAUUUGUGAUUAGGGGUGAAAGGUCAAACAAAAUUGGUAAUAGCUGGUUUCUUGCGAAAAAUAUUUAGGUAUUGCGUAAAAAAAAUUCAUAAAAGGUAAAGCUCUUUUAAAAUAAUAUUUUAAUAUUUUGAAAAACUUCAAAUGUUUAUAAUUUUUUUUGCAGUCAGACUUUGUUGCGCUAAGGUUCAAAGUCAAGAGGGAAACAGCCCAGAUUAUUAAUUAAGGUCCAAAAAAAAAAUUUAGUAUAAAAAGAAUAUAAAAAAAAAUUGUUAAUAGAUAAGCUUAGAAUCAGC